GUGGGGAAUAUUGGACAAUGGGCGAAAGCCUGAUCCAGCAAUGCCGCGUGAGUGAUGAAGGCCUUAGGGUUGUAAAGCUCUUUUACCAGGGAUGAUAAUGACAGUACCUGGAGAAUAAGCUCCGGCUAACUCCGUGCCAGCAGCCGCGGUAAUACGGAGGGAGCUAGCGUUGUUCGGAAUUACUGGGCGUAAAGCGCACGUAGGCGGCUACUCAAGUCAGAGGUGAAAGCCCGGGGCUCAACCCCGGAACUGCCUUUGAAACUAGGUAGCUAGAAUCUUGGAGAGGUCAGUGGAAUUCCGAGUGUAGAGGUGAAAUUCGUAGAUAUUCGGAAGAACACCAGUGGCGAAGGCGACUGACUGGACAAGUAUUGACGCUGAGGUGCGAAAGCGUGGGGAGCAAACAGGAUUAGAUACCCCUGUAGUCC
rnacentral:rRNA from 1 species